GCUUAAGCAUAUCAAUAAGCGGAGGAAAAGAAACCAACAGAGAUUGCCUUAGUAACGGCGAGUGAAGCGGCAACAGCUCAAAUUUGAAAUCUGGACCUAGUCCCGAGUUGUAAUUUGCAGAGGAUGAUUUUGGCGCGGUGCCUUCCAAGUUCCCUGGGACGGGACGCCGGAGAGGGUGAGAGCCCCGUCAGGUUGGACACCAAGCCUAUGUAAAUCUCCUUCGACGAGUCGAGUAGUUUGGGAAUGCUGCUCUAAAUGGGAGGUAUAUGUCUUCUAAAGCUAAAUACCGGCCAGAGACCGAUAGCGCACAAGUAGAGUGAUCGAAAGAUGAAAAGCACUUUGGAAAGAGAGUUAAACAGCACGUGAAAUUGUUAAAAGGGAAGCGUUUACGACCAGACUUGUGCCGGUUGAUCAUCCAGCGUUCUCGCUGGUGCACUCUGCCGGCCCAGGCCAGCAUCAGUUCGCCGCGGGGGAUAAAGGCGUCGGGAAUGUGGCUCCCCCGGGAGUGUUAUAGCCCUUCGCGCAAUACCCUGAGGCGGACUGAGGUUCGCGCAUUCGCAAGGAUGCUGGCGUAAUGGUCGUCAACGACCCGUCUUGAAACACGGACCAAGGAGUCGUCUUCGUAUGCGAGUGUUCGGGUGUAAAACCCCUACGCGUAAUGAAAGUGAACGCAGGUGAGAGCUUCGGCGCAUCAUCGACCGAUCCUGAUGUUCUCGGAUGGAUUUGAGUAAGAGCAUACGGGGCCGGACCCGAAAGAAGGUGAACUAUGCCUGUAUAGGGUGAAGCCAGAGGAAACUCUGGUGGAGGCUCGCAGCGGUUCUGACGUGCAAAUCGAUCGUCAAAUAUGGGCAUGGGGCGAAAGACUAAUCGAACCUUCUAGUAGCUGGUUUCCGCCGAA
rnacentral:rRNA from 1 species